rnacentral:tRNA from 1 species
GGGGAUAGCUCAGUGGUAGAAUGCAUGUUUAGUAUACAUGAGGUCCUAGGUUCAAUUCCCAGUAUUGCCA